rnacentral:lncRNA from 1 species
UUUCGGCUUGGUUCCCGGUCCUAUAAGGCGCUGCUUGUUUAAGUACAGUCUCAUUUAGUUGGAGCUGCAGGGAGUGAGGGAGAGGAGGAUAGGAAAGAGGAGAGCGGGAGAGCUUGAGGGAGAAGGGGGCUCGCUGUGUUUACACCAGACACAGGCUUCGAGCGUCCAUCCCGGACUCUGAUUCGCGCUCUCCAAGUGGAGAGCUAAGCUGUUCUGGGAUCCGUCCGUCGUGUGGCAGGAGCCUCAUCUGUCCUGGUUGCGGGAGCUGGGAGAGCCCAGAGGGAAACCGAGGGAAGCAAGCGGCGCGUUUUACUAGAGAGCGCGAGCAGAAGGGGUCGAGAGCCAAGCGUGUGAGGGAGCAUCAAGCGCGGCGAAGACAUGAGGACCUACUGGCUGCACAGCGUCUGGGUGCUGGGCUUCUUCCUGUCCCUCUUCUCAUUGCAAGGAUCUUGGAAGGAUCUGCUUAAUACCUCACUGAAGCUUAACCUGCAUCAUGAUAUAUCUGAUACUGUAUUCAUUCAUUUACUUAAAUAAUCAAAAAUCAAUCAUUAACAUCUGAUAUUAAUGUUAUUUAAU